UACGUAGGUGGCAAGCGUUGUCCGGAAUUAUUGGGCGUAAAGCGCGCGCAGACGGUCCUUUAAGUCUGCUGUGAAAGCCCACGGCUCAACCGUGGAGGGUCAUUGGAAACUGGAGGACUUGAGUACAGAAGAGGAAAGUGGAAUUCCACGUGUAGCGGUGAAAUGCGUAGAGAUGUGGAGGAACACCAGUGGCGAAGGCGACUUUCUGGUCUGUAACUGACGUUGAGGCGCGAAAGCGUGGGGAGCAAACAGG
rnacentral:rRNA from 1 species